rnacentral:rRNA from 1 species
AUGGCGGCGCCGCCGCAGCCACCUCGCUUCCCCUCCGCCGCCGGUGUCGCGAGAGCCAUCUCUUCGAUGCAGGACACGCUCCUCGACGCGGCCUUCAAAGGCGACCUCCCCCUCCUCAAGAGGGUGGUGUGGGUGCUGGAUAACGGCAAGGGCCGCCCCAGGGAGGCGGUGGAGGCGGCGAGGGCCGAUGGCGGCAUGUCGGCGCUGCUGAUCGCCGCGGCCAACGAGCAGCUCGAGGUCUGCAGCUACCUGGCCGGGGUGCUGCGCGUGGAUGUCGAUGCUGCAGAUGAUAAGGGUAGAACACCACUUUUUUAUGCGGUGAUGAGUGAAAAGAUUGCUGUUGUCAAGUGUCUUCUUGAUCAUGGUGCUGAUCCAGACAAAGCUGAUGAGGCCGGGCUAACUCCUCUACAUGCUGCUGCUGGAAUAGGAAAUUGUGAAAUGAUAAAACUGUUGCUUGCAAAGGGAGCAUAUGUUGACCCGAUAGCUGAGGAGAUUGGGACACCACUGCAUCUUGCUACUAAGGAACAACAAGUCGGUGCUAUGAAGACUUUAUUGGAGCAUAAUGCAGAUUGCAACAAGACGUACAUGAGCUAUGGACUGUAUCCUAUGACACCCCUCUUUCAGGCUGUAAAUGUAUCAUCACUACAAUGCGUGAAGCUCUUGGUUGAGGCUGGUGCUGUUAUCAACCCAGAUUGUAUCGAAACUGUUUCAUUUGAUUCUGCAACGGGAAAUGACGGCUCAACAGAGUGCUUAAAUUUCUUACUGAAGGCUGGUGCCAAGCGUAAUGCCUCUAAUGAUGCUGCUGUCCGCGCCAGCGCCAGAGGACGAGUCGCUGGCACCGCCCAGCGAUCCGGCAGAGGACGAGGACGUGACCAGGGGCCGCGACAACAACAGGAGCAGCACGUUGCCCAUGGGGAAGAGGUCGAGGUCAAAGUCAAUCCUAAGGAUGAACAUGCGAUUAAAAGGGAAAUAGCAAAGUUGAAGUCAUCUGCGAUUAAAGCAAUCGAGAGUAAAGAUUAUUUUUCUGCAACAAUGUGGUACACUAAGGCAAUAGAGCAUGACCCUAAUGAUGCAACCUUGUUCUCAAACAGAAGCCUCUGCUUGCUUCGCAUGGGUGACGGACAGAGGGCUUUGCUGGACGCUCUUGAUUGCAGAGGAAUGCGGCCUGACUGGCCAAAGGCCUACUACCGGCAGGGUGCAGCUCUGAUGUCACUGAAGGACUACAUUAACGCGUGCGUGGCGCUUCUUGAUGGAUUCAAGUUGGACCCGGAGAAUGCCGAGAUGGAAUCUGCAUUACGGGAAGCUAUGGAAUAUUUGAAGAUAUCGAAAGGCGGCACCAAAGGCAACAUGACAUGA